rnacentral:tRNA from 1 species
UGCGGGGUGGAGCAGUCUGGUAGCUCGUUGGGCUCAUAACCCAAAGGUCGGAGGUUCAAAUCCUUCCCCCGCAACCA